UGCCUGCCACAGCCGGAUAAUCGGGAGAAAUCCCGUCUAAUACGGCAUAAUGCAUCGACGGGACAUCCUGUUGGUGCCAAAGGUUAAUUCCGGUGGCGGAUGGGCAUGCGUCGCAUUAGUUAGUUGGCGGUGUAACGGACCACCAAGACGACGAUGCGUAGGGGUUCUGAGAGGAAGGUCCCCCACACUGGUACUGAGACACGGACCAGACUCCUACGGGAGGCAGCAGUGAGGAAUAUUGGUCAAUGGGCGGGAGCCUGAACCAGCCAAGUCGCGUGAGGGAUGACGGCCCUAUGGGUUGUAAACCUCUUUUGCCGGGGAGCAAAGUGCCGCACGUGUGCGGUUUGGAGAGUACCCGGAGAAAAAGCAUCGGCUAACUCCGUGCCAGCAGCCGCGGUAAUACGGAGGAUGCGAGCGUUGUCCGGAUUUAUUGGGUUUAAAGGGUGCGUAGGCGGACGCUUAAGUCAGCGGUAAAAUUGCGGGGCUCAACCUCGUCGAGCCGUUGAAACUGGGUGUCUUGAGUGGGCGAGAAGUACGCGGAAUGCGUGGUGUAGCGGUGAAAUGCAUAGAUAUCACGCAGAACUCCGAUUGCGAAGGCAGCGUACCGGCGCCCAACUGACGCUGAAGCACGAAGGCGUGGGUAUCGAACAGGAUUAGAUACCCUGGUAGUCCACGCAGUAAACGAUGAAUGCUAGUU
rnacentral:rRNA from 1 species